rnacentral:rRNA from 1 species
CGUGUAGCCGGGCCGACAAGUCAGAUGUGAAAUCCAAGGGCUCAACCCUUGAACUGCAUUUGAAACUGUAUUUCUUGAGUGUCGGAGAGGUUGACGGGAUUCCUAGUGUAGCGGUGAAAUGCGUAGAUAUUAGGAGGAACACCAGUGGCGAAGGCGGUCAACUGGACGAUAACUGACGCUGAGGCGCGAAAGCGUGGGGAGCAAACA